AAGAAAGCGUAAUAGCUCACUAGUCUAAUAGUGAUUCUGCGCCACAGAUGUAACGGGGCUAAACUACAAACCGAAGGUGCGAGUUUACACUUUUGUGUAAGCGGUAGCGGAGCGUUGUGUAAGCCGUUGAAGGUGUGCUGUGAAGCAUGCUGGAGGUAUCACAAGUGAGAAUGCUGACAUAAGUAACGUAAAGAAGUAUGAGAAAUACUUCCGCCGAAAGUCCAAGGUUUCCUGCGUAAAGUUAAUCUGCGUAGGGUUAGCCGGCCCCUAAGGUGAGGCUGAAAAGCGUAAUCGAUGGGAAUCAUGUUAAUAUUCAUGAGCCUGCUAGAUGUGACGAAAUCAAAG
rnacentral:rRNA from 1 species